UGGAGAUGUGGCACUGAGGGACCUGGUGGAAGAAAGAUGAGCUAGCAGUUUGCUGCGAGCCUGGCACAGCAGCUGUGAAUUACAGCAGUGCCCAAGCAAGAUCAGCUGCACUGGUGUUCAUGCAGGGAGGCACAGAGGAGAGAAGAAGAUGAGCUGCUGCCUUGCUCACAGAGCUCCCAUAGCAGAAAGCUGCUCCCGGUGCCAGCUGCCAAGAGGACACCACACACCCAGAGCUUGUCACCGCCCGCAGUGCCUGCGUGGGAGACUGCAGAGAGCACUGAGCAACCUGUGGGCAAUCCUCUGUCACAGCACAACUCCAGUGCCAAUGAGAAACCUAACUACUGAGAACAGCUCAGAUGUGUUGGUAGAAAGCAAAAAGCAGCCUCAAUUAUCUGCCUUUUUUUGUGUGUGUGUGCUUUUAGAAUUUCUUUGCACUCAAUAAAUACCAGAUCCAAACCAGACUCAUGGGCAAAGGACACGUUGCCCUCAACCAGCCUUUGGGCUGAAGUCUGCUGUAGGCUCCAUCAGUGUCCAAACACUACAGCUGCUCCGGAUGUCUGAGGUCACACGCAGCCCCAGCUCAGAUUUCUGACACCGCUCACAAAGCCCUGCUUGAAGGCUUCUCCACCAGAACCAGCAUUUGGGGCUGAUGCAGACAAUUUAUUUGCAAUUGUUUCUGGAGUAACAUUGAAUUUACUGAUGGCUUUUAAUCCUUUGAAAGGAAUUUUGGAUGCGUCCUUCACGAGAGGCCAUGAUGGAAGGCCAGCAGCAGCACAAUAAUUGCAUUAGCGUGUUCAGUGUGCCCAGGGCCUUGCCCUAAAUAUCCUUCUUUUCUGCCUGUUUAGGUGCAUCAGAUCCCACAUGUCAGGGCUCUGACUCGAAGAGGCGGCACUGCCUCUGUGUUCCCGCUGAGAUGUCUGUCCAUCAGCUCGCUGCAGAGCUGCACCCUCUGAAGCACUCCCUGCCCAGCGGGGACACCCGCAGCAACAGGCAGCAUCUUCCCUCCGCGCACACACAGGGAGAGCUCCGGCAUGGAUGUAUCCGGCGGCAGCGCGCUUCUGACCGCGGCACGGCGAGGUACAUCUCUGCCACACGGAUACCCGCACGCUGCGGCUCUCAGCGGGCACGUCCGUGGGUGCGCACCCACCUGUGCCGCGCACGCACCUCCAGCCAUG